UGAGGAAUAUUGGGCAAUGGGCGAAAGCCUGACCCAGCAACGCCGCGCGAAGGAAGUGACGGUAAUCUGUGAGGAAGCCCCGGCUAACUACGUGCCAGCAGCCGCGGUAAUACGUAGGGGGCGAGCGUUGUCCGGAAUUACUGGGCGUAAAGGGAGCGUAGGCGGUUAAUUAAGUUAGAUGUGAAAUACCCGGGCUUAACUUGGGGGGUGCAUCUAAUACUGGUAAACUAAAGUACAGGAGAGGAAAGCGGAAUUCCUAGUGUAGCGGUGAAAUGCAUAGAUAUUAGGAGGAACAUCGGUGGCGAAGGCGGCUUUCUGGACUGACACUGACGCUGAGGCUCGAAAGCGUGGGGAGCAAACAGGAUUAGAUACCCUGGUAGU
rnacentral:rRNA from 1 species